rnacentral:rRNA from 1 species
GUGCUAAGGUAGCACAAUAAAUAGCCUCCUAAUUAGAGGAUAGAAUGAAUGAACUAACGUGAAAUAACCUGUCUCUACUAUAGCCACAAAAUUUUAUCUCCGAGUGAAAAAGCUCAGAUAUACCAAAAAGACAAAAAGUCCCUAAAAGCUUCUAAUCAAGUAAUUAUAAAAUUAUAACAUUUUUAGCUGGGAGGGCAUUAAGUAAAUAAAACACUUAAAACAAUAAGGAUUUUAAAUCUCUCAAUUUAACUCAACAACAAAUAUAAGUAAGUUACUUUAGGGGUAACAGGCUAAUAUUCCUCAAGAGUUCACAUUGACAGGAAUGUUUGGCACCUCGAUGUUGGCUUAGGAAACCUUAUUUAUGCAGAAGUAAAUAAAGGGGGUUUGUUCAACCCAUAACCUCCUACGUGAUCU